rnacentral:lncRNA from 1 species
CUGGCAGCAACCCAGCGCUUCCAUUGCUGACCUCUACCGACCUCUACCUGUGGUCCUUCCUCUACUGCAGCAGAGACACUGUUUUCUUCCUUUGUUCUUCCAACCCCAUGGGGAAUAUCACAGAAGUGAAGUGCAAUUCUCAUCAUGUCAUAUCAAGAGCACACACUAACAAACAACAUGACUUAUUGCUGAAUAUUGAACUUGAUCACCUGGCUGAGGUAGUGUUUGCCAGAUUUCUCUGUAAAGGUGAAUAAACUGACACUGGAACAUUCAGGAACUUCUUCAUGGUCAUGGUCACCCAGCUAGAGUGUGGAAGCCAGGCUGUCUGAUUCCAGGAUCUGUGUUCUUAAUCCUAUACAUAAGGAAGCCAUAAUGAGUCAACCACUAUUUUUAAGAUUCACAGAUGUUCGGGUCCAAUUCACCAGAAUGCCAAGUUAUACAGGGUUGUGGAAUCAAAAACUGCAAUUAGUAAUAAAAUGUGAUGCUAUCUAGAAUGUUUUUCAUACAUAUAUAUGCUUCUUGGGACUCUCCCUGCAGGUUAAGAGAAAUUGAGAAACGAUGGAGAAUUUAAGUGUUUUAGAUCCUACAUACAUUAGACUUAAAAAUAGUAACUAUGUACAUGAGUAUUUGUAAACUUAAGAAUGAACAUAACAUGAACCAUGUGGCACCUAUAAAAUGAAAAUAAAAUACCUACAAACCAAAUGAGAGCAAUAAAAGAAGCUUUAAGGACUUUCACUUCAGGGAGUCUGAAUUAGAUGCGCUUCUUCCCAUUC